ACUUAUCUCAAGUUAGAUUCCUGGUCCUGGAUGAAGCUGAUGGGCUUCUUUCUCAAGGUUAUUCUGAUUUUAUAAAUAGGAUGCACAAUCAGAUUCCUCAGGUUACUUCUGAUGGAAAAAGACUUCAGGUGAUUGUUUGCUCUGCCACUUUGCAUUCUUUCGAUGUAAAGAAACUGUCUGAGAAGAUAAUGCAUUUUCCUACAUGGGUUGACUUAAAAGGAGAAGACUCUGUUCCAGAUACUGUACACCAUGUUGUUGUCCCAGUAAAUCCCAAAACUGACAGACUCUGGGAAAGACUUGGAAAGAGCCACAUUAGAACUGAUGAUGUACAUGCAAAAGAUAACACAAGACCUGGUGCUAAUAGUCCAGGUGAGUUAAAAGAGCCAAAUGUGUUGAAAGAUUUUGAAAAUGAAAUUUAUACCUUACCUAUUCUCAUGAAGGAUGUGAGGUGACCUGCAAAAUUACAACAGGAAAUUUGGAAAUAAAGGCAACAAAAAUAAUAAAAAAGAAAUGGGGAAAAAGCUGAUACUAGUCAACUUAGAGGAAUAUGAAUCAUUGAAUUUAUUUUUAAUUUUUUGAGACAGAGUCACGUUGUUGUCACCCAGGCUGGAGUGCAAUGGCACAGUCUCAGCUCAAGGCAA
rnacentral:sRNA from 1 species